GAUCGAAUAAUUUCCGAAGGUGAGUCAGGUGAAUAAGAUUAUUAUCCAAGGAAAUUGCUGCGCCUCAGAAAAGACGGAAAAUAAGUCGGGAUUUCUCGGGAAUCACUUUGGACUACGAAAAAAUGGCCAUUGAAAUUAUAUGACAUUACACGACAAAUAUCAAUUGAAUAAAAAACUGAGAAAACCAUUUUAAUAGAUUUAUUGGAAAGGUCUAACGAUGAUUCGUUAUUGGCUGAUAAUAUCUGGUUUUUUAAAUAUAUUUUAGUUAUAUUAUAAAUAAUAUAAUAAUGUCCUUCGAAAACCAACCAUACACAAGAGAAAGUACUAUAAAAUCCAAAAAUUAUACUGAACAGGAGAGAUUCGAAAUUCAAAUUCUUAAGAAGUACUUAACUCUUCAAAAGUAUUUAACAUUUUGCUACAAUUUAAUUUUGAGAAUGGAUUCCUCCCAUGAUUUUGAUUGGGAUAACGUAAAGAUCUUGGACGGGGAACCCUCUUGUUGCAAAAGACUGAUCUUUGAAAUGGUUUUCAUUAAGACACAAAACGCAGGCUUCAACAAUCAAAACGACACGGAACAUUUACUGGAUGCUUAUCUCUCAAUUAUUAAUUUAUUUUCUCCUUUAUAAUUGUAUUUCCUUUCUUUUCCUUUACCAAUUCCUUUAUCCUCACCAUUUCACCAUGCCUUCCUUACUAUACUUCUUUUCCCUCCUCCCCCCCUGCCUCUCUCCCUCCUUUCCUACCAUUACUUUGAUUUUCUUUGUUGAAUUUUGAUCAUUAAGAUCUCAACUUUUAACUGAUUAAGUUCAAUAAUUAUUCACUCUUCCAUCUUGUUCCUUCUGCAUGGAUGAGUGUACUUUCAACAUGUAAUUUUCACAACUAUAUAAUCACUGCGUGCGAUUCUUUCGUUCAAUAUUGUACACUGAAGAAGGCCUGAUGUCAGGCAGAAAUGUUUGUAAAUAAUUUUAAAUGGAAAUACAGUAACCUUUGCACGAAGAACCUGCAUCUUUACGCUCCUAUUGAAUUUUAUUAGAUUUUGUCAAUCACUGAUCAAUCUAUUUGAACUUAAUUAAUAUUCACAGACGAUAAUUCAUUUAUGAUUUUUGCACACCAGUUUUCACCGAUUAAUAAUUGUUAUAAAAUAUCGUGUAUGACUGACUAGUGAUAUGUCUUUCUCUGCUGUACUACCGAACCAGCUACACAUAAUUACCACCACGGAUCACUGAUAAGGAAUGACUCUCUAGAAUUUCUCCAUUAAUUAUAUCAAACAAUAAGUUUUUUGAAUUUA